rnacentral:rRNA from 1 species
CAGCAGCCGCGGGAAUACGAAGGGUGCAAGCGUUACUCGGAAUUACUGGGCGUAAAGCGUGCGUAGGUGGUGGUUUAAGUCCGUUGUGAAAGCCCUGGGCUCAACCUGGGAAUUGCAGUGGAUACUGGGUCACUAGAGUGUGGUAGAGGAUAGUGGAAUUUCCGGUGUAGCAGUGAAAUGCGUAGAGAUCGGAAGGAACAUCUGUGGCGAAGGCGACUAUCUGGGCCAACACUGACACUGAGGCACGAAAGCGUGGGGAGCAAACAGGAUUAGAUACCCCCGUAGUCCCUGUCUCUUAUAU